AGGGUUCGAUUCUGGCUCAGGAUGAACGCUAGCUACAGGCUUAACACAUGCAAGUCGAGGGGCAGCAUGUGGUGCUUGCAACCAAUGAUGGCGACCGGCGCACGGGUGAGUAACGCGUAUCCAACCUUCCCUAUAGUAGAGGAUAGCCCGGCGAAAGUCGGAUUAAUACUCUAUGUUUUCCAAUGCAGACAUCUAAAAUGGAACAAAGGUUUACCGCUAUAGGAUGGGGAUGCGUCUGAUUAGAUAGUCGGCGGGGUAACGGCCCACCGAGUCGACGAUCAGUAGGGGUUCUGAGAGGAAGGUCCCCCACAUUGGAACUGAGACACGGUCCAAACUCUUACGGGAGGCAGCAGUGAGGAAUAUUGGUCAAUGGGCGAGAGCCUGAACCAGCCAAGUAGCGUGCAGGAUGACGGCCCUAUGGGUUGUAAACUGCUUUUAUACAGGGAUAAAGUGACGUACGUGUACGUUAUUGUAGGUACUGUAUGAAUAAGGACCGGCUAAUUCCGUGCCAGCAGCCGC
rnacentral:rRNA from 1 species